rnacentral:rRNA from 1 species
UCUUAAUGGUAGAAUUGCCAAGUUAUGGUUUUCUCUAAAAGGUUAAUUAAUCGGAUAGGACCAUAAACCUGAACAGUAUGUUAAGGGAAAGACCUGGGGAGGGAUUACUUCAACCAUUGAACCCUUUGGAAUUGGUUGACUCAGAUAGUCCUUUGGUCAACAGGCCUUUCCAUGGACUAUCAUAAGUCUUAACGUAUCACAACCUUGUCUAUAAGAAUCUGUUGUUAAAGAAACUCCCUUCGUAUGGAGCCAGUGACUGUUUAUAUUUCCCCGAGUCAUAUAACUUGGACCUGUACUUAUUCAAGAGACCAUUAUAAGGAUUCCGGGAACCAUCGUAUCCUUCGAACGUCCUUAACAUGGAUCGUGUAUUGUUGAACAGUCCCUGUUAGGGUAAUCAUGAUGUCUUAAACUAUAGUAACUUGUUUAACCUAUAUAGGAAGUUAUUAAACGUUCCGCUCCACGGUUUGCUUCCACAAAAGUCUUUGUAGUGAAUGAAUCGUCAACGACCGUUACACUUAAACACACCACCAUGUAGAGUUGAAGUGGACCGAGGUACGAGGUGUUCCUUCUUGUUAUUUUCCUACAGUUUCAGAGAACAUUAAAGAGAUCGUUGGAAACCUCAUUAGCACAAGAGAGAUAGUCAAUAAGAAGAAGAAACCUAUAACACGUUCUUUGAGUUUGGUUCGGUCUUCUAUAACCGUGCUUUAAGUUAACAUCUACUGGCCAUGCUCUCUUAGGGGAUAGUACGUAAUGACUCCCCUUGAUUGCCUAAAAGUCUUCAGUUGAACGAACCCUCUCCUUCAAUACCACGCCAAAUAUUCACACAAAACCUGUUACUUCUUUCUUGUAACCGACAGUUCCACAAAUUGGAACCAGUUAGAUCCAUAAGUUUCUCAAAACUCCGACUUACACUCCGAUACUCUUCCUAUGCUGUGGCAACAGAGUAAUUCUAGUAAUGAAGAACAAGAUCGUAGUUGGUCGUUCCAGUUCUCAAGUUCCGUAACCAAAAACUUAAGUACGGGUUACCAUUGAACCUAUCGACCGAAGUAGUUGGUAGACUUCUAGGGUGAUGUUUGUUGUGCGAGCCGGAACGGGUCUCCGAACUAUAACGACAGCUAUAACACCUGCGUCAUCUUAUAAACGUGUUGAUGACAGUCGGGAACCAUUAGGUGACACUAGAAUUCGGUUCGUUGUAAGAAGAACGACUUCUGUACUCGCGGGCCCAACCUCUGAAACCGUAUAGUUCCUAGGAAGUUCUUUUAUGUUCACUCCGCUACGUUUGAAGUAUACCGAGUUGACCUGAAUCUCCAAGGUAUCCGAUACAACGAGGUCUCAUACCUCUUCCGAGGCGUCAGAGAUGUCGACCACUAUAAAUAUCGGAACCGUAUAACGAAGAACUCUACAAAUGCCCUUCUUCGGGUUGUCUUCCGUGCAAGCCUCUAAGUAACCCAGACGUAUUCAAACAGCUCCUACGAGAAGGUCUAUCUUGGUACCUCUAUCAACUGGGCUGUUACACCAACGUGUCGCCUGGUGUGUUAUUAUGAUGUUAAUAAUCUUAAGUCCUCAAUAACCAAAAUCAGAACUCUGAACCGUAUAGGACGAGUUUCGUUGUAGGAGCACUGGCUCGUAACUGUUCACUACGUUGUAGCCUCUACGUGCGUUAGUCUCUACAUAUGGAGUUCAAGCAUCCCCUCGUACCUCGUCUUGGUCUUCGGAGCUGAGUUCUUUAAGUCUCGUCGCAACGUAUU